rnacentral:rRNA from 1 species
UGGGGAAUCUUGCGCAAUGGGCGAAAGCCUGACGCAGCCAUGCCGCGUGAAUGAUGAAGGUCUUAGGAUUGUAAAAUUCUUUCACCGGGGACGAUAAUGACGGUACCCGGAGAAGAAGCCCCGGCUAACUUCGUGCCAGCAGCCGCGGUAAUACGAAGGGGGCUAGCGUUGCUCGGAAUUACUGGGCGUAAAGGGCGCGUAGGCGGAUCGUUAAGUCAGAGGUGAAAUCCCAGGGCUCAACCCUGGAACUGCCUUUGAUACUGGCGAUCCUGAGUAUGAGAGAGGUAUGUGGAACUCCGAGUGUAGAGGUGAAAAUUCGUAGAUAUUCGGAAGAACACCAGUGGCGAAGGCGACAUACUGGCUCAUUACUGACGCUGAGGCGCGAAAAGCGUGGGGAGCAAAACAGGAUUAGAUACCCUGGUAGUCCACGCCGUAAAACGAUGAUUGCUAGUUGUCGGGCUGCAUGCAGUUCGGUGACGCAGCUAACGCAUUAAAGCAAUCCGCCUG